rnacentral:rRNA from 1 species
GAUGAACGCUGGCGGCGUGCCUAAUACAUGCAAGUCGAGCGAACAGAUGAGAAGCUUGCUUCUCUGAUGUUAGCGGCGGACGGGUGAGUAACACGUGGGUAACCUACCUAUAAGACUGGGAUAACUCCGGGAAACCGGGGCUAAUACCGGAUAAUAUUUUGAACCGCAUGGUUCGAUAGUGAAAGACGGUUUCGGCUGUCACUUAUAGAUGGACCCGCGCCGUAUUAGCUAGGUGGUAAGGUAACGGCUUACCAAGGCGACGAUGCGUAGCCGACCGGAGAGGUUGGUCGGCCACACUGGAACUGGGACACGGUCCAGACUCCUACGGGAGGCAGCAGUAGGGGAUCUUCCGCAAUGGGCGAAAGCCUGACGGAGCAACGCCGCGUGAGUGAUGAAGGUCUACGGAUCGUAAAGCUCUGUUGUUAGGGAAGAACAAAUUUGUUAGUAACUGAACAAGUCUUGACGGUACCUAACCAGAAAGCCACGGCUAACUACGUGCCAGCCGCCGCCGUAA